CCUACGGGAGACUGCAGUGGGGAAUAUUGCACAAUGGGGGGAACCCUGAUGCAGCAAUGCCGCGUGGGUGAAGAAGCACUCCGGUGCGUAAAGCCCUGUCAGCAGGGAAGAAAAUGACAGUACCUGGACAAGAAGCCCCGGCUAACUACGUGCCAGCAGCCGCGGUAAUACGUAUGGAGCAAGCGUUAUCCGGAUUUACUGGGUGUAAAGGGAGAGUAGGUGGCAGAGCAAGUCCGAAGUGAAAACCCAAAGCUCAACUAUGGGAAUGCUUUAGAAACUGCUCAGCUAGAGUGCAGGAGAGGCAAGUGGAAUUCUUAGUGUAGCGGUGAAAUGCGUUGAUAUUAGGAGGAACACCAGUGGCGAAGGCGGCUUGCUGGACUGUAACUGACACUGAGGCUCGAAAGCGUGGGGAGCAAACAGGAUUAGAUACCCGAGUAGUC
rnacentral:rRNA from 1 species